rnacentral:rRNA from 1 species
AUCUACGGCCAUACCACGGGAAAAGCACAGGAUCCCGUCCGAUCUCCUAAGUCGAAGCCCCGUAGGGUCUAGUCAGUAUUGCGGUGGGGGACCA